AGAGAGGGCACUGCAGAUUCUGAGACAGGAGGUUUUCUGGGCUCUCCUUGGAGUAUAAAGAAACUGCUGCAUGGUCCUUAAAGGAUGUUCUCUGUUUCGUGGAUUGAUUCUGCUGCUGGGGAACUCAAAGAAAAAAAAAUCCAGUGCCUGGUAAAGUUAUGGAGAAGAUUAUUCUGGAAAAACACAUGAAAGGCAACGCAGUCACUGG